rnacentral:lncRNA from 1 species
UGAAGAAAGUAUUUGGCAAAGUUCUUCAAAGCCACAUCAUCACGGUCAAAGCAGUAAGACAUGGACAGGACAUGACUAUACCUUCUCGCAUCAGAAAAACAGCUAUGGAUAGUCUCCUGCAAUCAAACCAAUCUUCCAAAAAGACUGCUUUCAUAUCACUUCCCAGUUGGGCCUCAGGAGGUGAAAGACUCUGAAGGAGAAAGAAACAGUCAGGGGCUAUGUGAAUUCAUGAAGGGCUGCCAACAUGAUGUAGGUAUGAAGUAGCAGAAAAGUGGUGGAAUCCCAGACUACAUUACUGAUCCAAUUACUCAAAGAUGUUUUAUAUUUUGACAUUUUUCUAAGCAUCUUUCUAGCACCAUGUCUUAAAAAUGUCACUGCUCCUGCAAUUCUAUUGUGUUACUUAUAAUUUUACUUUUUUGAAUGGUAGAAAUGUACAGCACCUCAUAACGGCUAAACACAUUAAUUCUUAUUCUUCAAUAAAGUCUUCUACUUAAAUUUAGUUUAAGCUUAUAAGCAGAGAUACAGUUAUGGAAACAGUUGACACUUUAUCUAGGCCAUUGAUAAAAGAACAUUUAUUUCAGACACAGUGAUUCAAAGACAAGCUUACAAUAAGCUUUUAGUUACUGCCCAGUUUUUAG